ACUGUUACUCUCUCUUUCUCCUCCCACAUACAGACCCACGCCUCUCUACCUCCCAAAAAGACCGGAUUAGUAUGAUAUUGAUUUCAGGAGGUGUUGGUUUUAGGACAUAAAUUUUGGGAUUGGAGAAGCUUCUAAGUGGGUCAAGGGGAAGCAAUUGGAAGAAGUUGUGGCCAUUAAAAACACAUAUGGGAUUGGUGGCAAAAAGAUGGCUUUUGUGGGACUAUUUGAACUCAAAUAAUUUUCUAUAAAGUUUGGAAGCUAAGACAUCAUUUGUAUAUAAAUGGUUGUAAUUACUUUGUGAACAUCUUUAUUGCAUUUUGAGAUUGUAUGGAUUUAUUUAUUUAUUUA